AGGAGCCGUGAUAUAAGGUGCUGUGCUGUGUUGCUGCAGGACCAGACGUCUCCUCCUGUGUCAAGUACAACUUAUUACAGAAAUAUCAAGAUACACCAUAUGUAUGGCACUUAGAUAAAAUACUUAACAAUGGCUACCAGUACCUCUCUGCACAACUAAUGCUGGUCCAAGCAAAAGGCACCUCCUAGCAAAAUAACCUGAUCUCUGAGCUAAGAGGUAAGGGUCAUCUGAAGUUCUUUCCUCCAGAGAGAAUUCUCUUCCAGUUCUCUGGUCAAAAACUUCCAGAUGAGAGAUUUGACAGUGAACCUGUGAGGGAAGCCACACAUACCCAACGCACAUGGUAUUUUGAGGUAACAAGCUGUGCAGUUUUAAUCAGGCUAACUACAGUCCUAAAUUUAGCUUCCUGAUCCAUACUAAAUAAAUUAUGACAACUUAUCCUUGACCUAUAAUUAGGCUAAACAUUUCAGACAUUACACUAACUUAGAAAAAUAAAGGGGGUCCCUAGACCAGAUUAAUACUGGUCCUAAGACCAACAGACUGCUGACCCCUGGACCAGGCUAAUGGUCUCUGGAUCACUCAUCUCUCCAUAAAGUCUCCUGAUCCCAACUGGUAAUUAAAAAAAUAUCAAGGUUCACAAUGUUAAUUACUCGCCAGCUAUGGGUUUCCAAGGUGAGAUUUAGGUGUGUGUGUGUUAUUCUGGAUGUACCUAAUUAGUUAAACCUCUUAAAUUCCAAUUCUGAGAGAAAAGUAUAUUUGGUCAAAAAUUUUGUUUGUGUGUUUUCUCACGGACUGAAACUGUGCCUACAAUACACCAUUCACAGGGAGAUACAGUGUACACAGUGAUAGCACCAAGAGAUAUAGACGAGAACGGGAAAAGAAAGUACUGUAGUAUAAGGAAAUAAUAGUUAAAAUAAAAAAAUAAAAAUAUAAUCAACAAGUUUGGCUAUCCUAAAAGGCAUUCUAUUACUGCCCCAAAGAAAGAUUUAUUUUAUUUUUCUGGGUUUCUUAAGGACUGAAAGGGUGUAUAAAAUCCAUUAGUCAUAGCAAAAUGCAGUGUACAUAGAGAUAGCACGUAAAUACUGACAAAUUGCAGAAGUGAACUGAAAAAAAAAUAAGAGAAGACAACCCUAAAGGCAACAGGGGAGGAUAAAACCAGCAGAGGGCAGCUAAGUACUGUUUUUUUUCUUUAUUCUUAAAUAAAUGUAGAUCUAUACAUAGUCUGCACCCCCCCCCC